GGUACAGACCCGAAGCCAGGUGAUCUACCCAUGGGCAGGAUGAAGUGCGCUUGACCGCGUACGGAGGUCCGAACCCGUAGGUCGUGCAACGCCUUGGGAUGACCUGUGGGUAGGGGUGAAAAGCCAAUCGCACUUGGUGAUAUCUGGUUCUCCCCGAAAUGGCUCUAGGGUCAGCCUCACGCCAGAGGCGGCCGGGGGUAGAGUGCUGGCUGGGGAAGGGGGGCAACCUCCGACCUCAUUCAAACUCCGAAUACCGGUACGCCGUUCCGUGGGAGUGAGACGGCGGGGGAUAACCUCCGUUGUCGAGGGCGAAACAACGCAGACCACCAGCUAAGGCCCCCAAAUCCAGGCUAAGUGGGCAAGGCGGUGUGAUCGCAUAAACAGCUGGGAGGUUGGCUUAGAAGCAGCCAUCCUUCAAAGAGUGCGUAAUAGCUCACCAGUCUAGCGACCGCGCGCCGAAGAUGUACCGGGGCUAAGCCUGGUGCCGAAGCUGUGGGUGGGGUCCUUCGGGACCCCGCGGUAGGGGAGCAUUCCGCCGUAGGUCGAAGCCGGGCCGCGAGACCCGGUGGACGAAGCGGAAGAGAGAAUGCCGGCAUGAGUAGCGAGAGAUGGGUGAGAAUCCCAUCCACCGAAUGCCCAAGGUUUCCUGGGGAAGGCUUAUCCACCCAGGGUUAGGCGGGCCUUAGCCGAAGCCGAAAGGCGUAGGUGAUGGACAGCCGGUCAACAUUCCGGCCCCUCCAGACCCGCGUUACGAGCGAAGGGGGGACGCCGCAGGAGAUCCUCCGCAGGUUCACGGUUACACCUGUCCAAGUGCCAAGCCAGAGGGGGUAGGCAAAUCCGCCUCCUCGAAACCGUCUCUGGACCGCCUUCGGGCGGGGGGAGGCGAGCAGGCGAGGCGCGAUGGCGAGCCCCGUAAGGGGCGAAGGGAGGCCCCUUCAGCGGCCGAGAAAAGCCCCUAGCCAGUUGGUCUGGAGUCCGUACCGCAAACCGACACCGGUGGGCGAGGAGAGUAUCCAAAGGUGGGCGAGCUAACCUUCGUCAAGGAACUCGGCAAAAUGGCCCCGUAACUUCGGGACAAGGGGCGCCCUCUGGGUUACCGCAAGGUGGCUUGGAGGGCCGCAGAGAAACGGCUCAAGCGACUGUUUACCAAAAACACAGGUCCCUGCUAACCCGAAAGGGGACGUAUAGGGGCUGAAACCUGGCCACUGCCGGUAGGUCAAGGAGAGGGGUGCAAGCCCUGAACUGAAGCCCCGGUGAAGGCCGGCCGUAACUAUAACGGUCCUAAGGUAGCGAAAUUCCUUGUCGGGUAAGUUCCGACGCGCAUGAAAGGUACAACGACUUGAGCGCUGUCUUGACGAGGGGCUCGGUGAACUCGAAGCACGGGUGAAGAUUCCCGUGACCCGCGGUGGGACAGAAAGACCCCGUGGAGCUUUACUGCAGCUUGGUGUUGGGUCUCGGCAUCUGCUGUAGAGGAUAGGUGGGAGGCUGUGAAACCUGGGCGCCAGCCCAGGCGGAGCCGACCUUGGAAUACCACCCUGCAGCUGUUGAGGCCCUAACCGCACGCCGUUCGCAGCGGCAGCGGGACCGCGCUAGGUGGGCAGUUUUGCUGGGGCGGCAGCCUCCCAAAGAGUAACGGAGGCGCACAAAGGUCCCCUCAGGCUGGUUAGCGAUCAGCCGGUGAGUGCAAGGGCAGAAGGGGGCUUGACUGCGAGGCCUACAAGCCGAGCAGAGGCGAAAGCCGGUCCUAGUGACCCGCUGGCUUCCUCGUGGGAGGGCCAGCGAUCAUCGGACAAAAGUUACCCCGGGGAUAACAGGCUAGUACCGCCCGAGAGUUCACAUCGACGGCGGUGUUCGGCACCUCGAUGUCGGCUCACCCCAUCCUGGGGCUGUAUCAGGUCCCAAGGGUCGGUCUGUUCGCCCGUUAAAGGGGUUCAUGAGCUGGGUUCAAACCGUCGUGAGACAGGUUGGUCCCUAUCUACCGUGGGCG
rnacentral:rRNA from 1 species